rnacentral:rRNA from 1 species
AUGUCAGAUUUCUAUGGGACAGAACUCAUUGUACCUUAUAGCACAAAGCACAUUACAAACCUCAAGACGCUCUUGAACAAGGAUGAUACAAAAGAAGGGGAUAUGAUAGAGACAAUUGCUUACUUUAAAGAUCAGCAGAGAGAGGAUCUAGAUUUUUUUUAUAGGAUAAAAUAUGAUGAGGAAGACAGGGUUGAGAAUAUUUUCUGGGUCGAUGGUGCGGCAAGGAAGGCGUACGUGGAAUCUUAUCAUGAUUGUAUCUCCUUUGACACAACGUAUAUGACUAACAUGUACAACAUGCCCUUUGCACCAUUCAUUGGGAUUAACAGGCAUGGGCAGUCAUUCAUGUUGGGUUGUGGCUUUGUUAGGCAAGAGUUGGCGUCAAGCUUUGAUUGGCUAUUCGAAACCUUCAUUGAGGCAAUGCAUAAUGUAGCACCCACCAACAUCAUAACCGACCAAGACAUCGCAAUGGCACAGUCAAUUAAAAAGAUCUUUCCUACAAGUGUGCACCGCUGUUGCCGCUGGCAUAUUAUGAAAAAGGCACAAGAAAAGCUUGGAGCAUUGCUGGGGCGAAACCCUGGCUUAUCCAAAGAUUUCAACAACUGUGUUGACUUUAGCUUGACGCCGGAAGAAUUUGAGGCAGGGUGGACUGAGCUGAUGAUGAAGUAUGAGGCUAUGACUGACUCUCACUUCGAGAAUCUAUACAAGUACAGAGAGACAUGGGUACCCUGCUACUUCAAGCACCAAUUCUUCCCUUUCUUGCAGUCAACUCAACACAGUGAGGGGUUCACUGCUGUCCUUAAGCAAUAUGUGAACCCACACAAGUCCAUGUUGAACUUUGUGAAGCAAUAUCAGUAA